UACAAGAAAGUGAUUGAAACAACACCAAGAAACGAAUAGAAUUAAGUUAGGACAUCUUCUCCUUCACUCCUAUUCACAAGGAUGGGUACUGAGAUGCAAGAGGCUGAAUGAAUAAAGUGCCUUCAGUAGGAGACUUCUGCAUAGAGAGCACAAACCAAUGCUAUAGGAUUCAGGUGGCAGAGUAGAGUCCACAAUAGCACUGAGCUUUUUUUGCACCUCCAAGGAAGAUGAACGAUGAGGAAGAGCUGUGGCAGAAGUAGCCUCAGGCAAGAAACGUGAUACUGUGACACCCCCUCUCCAUCUGCUUGCAGAAAAGAAGCCUGUGCUGUUGAGUGAACGUGGAGCAGAGGGAAGCAUUGAAUUUCUCAAGAAGAAGACAGAAAAAUGUGCUGAUUUUCUCUAUUGGACAAAGAUGCCAGCAUUAAUUUGUGGUGGUUUUUUGUUUGGGUUUUUUUUUUUUUAGCUGGAUAGAAGACUGAAAGCUAAUUUUGUCACUGUAACAGUGUUUAAGGCAGAGAUAUUUUAGCAUCCAAAGACGUUGAAACUGAGAUGUAAAUGGGAACAAAGGAAUAUAUCCAAAAACUACUUGGAUUCAAAAUAGUUAAUAAACCACCCUAUAAUUCA